UGGGGAAUUUGGACAAUGGGCGAAAGCCUGAUCCAGCAAUGCCGCGUGUGUGAAGAAGGCCUUCGGGUUGUAAAGCACUUUUGUCCGGAAAGAAAUCCUUGGCUCUAAUACAGUCGGGGGAUGACGGUACCGGAAGAAUAAGCACCGGCUAACUACGUGCCAGCAGCCGCGGUAAUACGUAGGGUGCAAGCGUUAAUCGGAAUUACUGGGCGUAAAGCGUGCGCAGGCGGUUUGCUAAGACCGAUGUGAAAUCCCCGGGCUCAACCUGGGAACUGCAUUGGUGACUGGCAGGCUAGAGUAUGGCAGAGGGGGGUAGAAUUCCACGUGUAGCAGUGAAAUGCGUAGAGAUGUGGAGGAAUACCGAUGGCGAAGGCAGCCCCCUGGGCCAAUACUGACGCUCAUGCACGAAAGCGUGGGGAGCAAACAGGAUUNGAUACCCUGGUAGUCCACGCCCUAAAACGAUGUCAACUAGUUGUUGGGGAUUCAUUUCCUUAGUAACGUAGCUAACGCGUGAAGUUGACCGCCUGGGGAGUAC
rnacentral:rRNA from 1 species